UGUAAACUCCUUUUUAGCGGCCAUGAAGGUACCACUAGAAUAAGGAGCUACUAACUACGUGCCAGCAGUCGCGGUAAUACGGAGGCUACGAGCGUUACCCGGAUUUAUUGGGCGUAAAGGGUCUGUAGACGGUUUUCCAAGUCUGGUUUCAAAGCCCCCGACUCAAUCGGGGAAAGGGGUCAGAUACUGGGGAUACUAGAGUCAUAUCGGGGUUACUGGAAUUUUUGGGUGUAGGGGUUAAAUCCGUGGAUUCCAAAAAGAACACCAAGCGCGAAGGGGGGUAACUAGGUAUGUUACUGACGUUCAGAGACGAAAGCUAGGGUAGCAAAUCAGAUUAGAGACCUGAGUAGUCCUAGCUGUAAACAUUGUCCGUUAGUUCUUCUUCAAUUUAUUGGGGAGGGAUGUUAGCUAACGCGAUAAACGGAUCGCCUGGGG
rnacentral:rRNA from 1 species